rnacentral:rRNA from 1 species
GACGAACGCUGGCGGCGUGCUUAACACAUGCAAGUCGAACGGAAAGGCCCUGCUUUUGUGGGGUGCUCGAGUGGCGAACGGGUGAGUAACACGUGAGUAACCUGCCCUUGACUUUGGGAUAACUUCAGGAAACUGGGGCUAAUACCGGAUAGGAGCUCCUGCUGCAUGGUGGGGGUUGGAAAGUUUCGGCGGUUGGGGAUGGACUCGCGGCUUAUCAGCUUGUUGGUGGGGUAGUGGCUUACCAAGGCUUUGACGGGUAGCCGGCCUGAGAGGGUGACCGGCCACAUUGGGACUGAGAUACGGCCCAGACUCCUACGGGAGGCAGCAGUGGGGAAUAUUGCACAAUAGGCGGAAGCCUGAUGCAGCAACGCCGCGUGCGGGAUGACGGCCUUCGGGUUGUAAACCGCUUUCGCCUGUGACGAAGCGUGAGUGACGGUAAUGGGUAAAGAAGCACCGGCUAACUACG